ACGGCAGCACGGGUGCUUGCACCUGGUGGCGAGUGGCGAACGGGUGAUUAAUACAUCGGAACAUGUCCUGUAGUGGGGGAUAGCCCGGCGAAAGCCGGAUUAAUACCGCAUACGAUCUACGGAUGAAAGCGGGGGACCUUCGGGCCUCGCGCUAUAGGGUUGGCCGAUGGCUGAUUAGCUAGUUGGUGGGGUAAAGGCCUACCAAGGCGACGAUCAGUAGCUGGUCUGAGAGGACGACCAGCCACACUGGGACUGAGACACGGCCCAGACUCCUACGGGAGGCAGCAGUGGGGAAUUUUGGACAAUGGGCGAAAGCCUGAUCCAGCAAUGCCGCGUGUGUGAAGAAGGCCUUCGGGUUGUAAAGCACUUUUGUCCGGAAAGAAAUCCUUGGUCCUAAUAUGGCCGGGGGAUGACGGUACCGGAAGAAUAAGCACCGGCUAACUACGUGCCAGCAGCCGCGGUAAUACGUAGGGUGCAAGCGUUAAUCGGAAUUACUGGGCGUAAAGCGUGCGCAGGCGGUUUGCUAAGACCGAUGUGAAAUCCCCGGGCUCAACCUGGGAACUGCAUUGGUGACUGGCAGGCUAGAGUAUGGCAGAGGGGGGUAGAAUUCCACGUGUAGC
rnacentral:rRNA from 1 species